GAGUUUUUCAGGGAGCCAGCUGGAACCACAGAACUGAUGGAAGGCAUUCACAGUGAGAAGAACAUGAACUCACAGCCAUUAAGGCCUGAUAGUCCCCUGCAGAGAGAGCUCAGCACACAUCCACAGAGGCAAGUCCAGCAUCUGAAAGAAAGAAAGAAGAAAAAGUGACUUUUGCCAUCAAACUCUGAAGSUGACAAGCCCAAAAGCUCUGUCUGGCUGCUCAGGAACAAAAGGAUACUCCCAGGGAUGAGGCACAUUCCCAGCAAACACUCCCAACACAGCAGAGGCACCACUGGAGCUCGUGUGUGGGGCUGGGAAGGGCUGCAGGACACAGCCCCAGGUGGGGUGGCAGUGACAGUGACAGCAGCAAAUUCCCACAGUCUGAUGGCACAACAGAGAGACAAAGGCCAGCAAUGCCCACGGGAGGCACAGGUUUAAUUCUGCUCUGGGCGAUGCCACAUCCCAGCAGGAAAUCUCCAGGGAGCUGUAAACUCKCAGGGUGCACAAAAUGCAGCAUCUGUCCCCCUGAUCCUGCUUAAACUCAGCGUGGGGGCCAACCCCCACAGGUAAACACUGACCUGACCUGGAUCAGUCUCCAACACAGCCCCAGUUGUCACCUCCAACUUGCUCCUGGGGCUGCCACCAUAUUCCUAACGAGGUGGCAAAGGCCACUUUGGCCAGGGCUCUCUGUGUCUCAGGUAUUGGGGACUAC